UACAGAGGGUGCAAGCGUUAAUCGGAUUUACUGGGCGUAAAGGGCGCGUAGGUGGUUACAUAAGUGAGAGGUGAAAUCCCCGGGCUUAACCUGGGAACUGCCUCUUAUACUGUGUGGCUGGAGUGAAGUAGAGGGUAGUGGAAUUUCCGGUGUAGCGGUGAAAUGCGUAGAUAUCGGAAGGAACACCAGUGGCGAAGGCGGCUACCUGGACUUUUACUGACACUGAGGCGCGAGAGCGUGGGUAGCAAACAGG
rnacentral:rRNA from 1 species